GCUGUACACAUCUGUAUGUGCCUUCUGUGACGUCACGGAACAAUUAGAACGUGUCGCCUAUGGUAGUAUUUAAGGCUUAGAACUUAGCUCAUUUUGUUGGUUGAAGUUUCGGAGUAGUAUGUUUUUAGAGUGAAAAAGAAAACUGUUAUCAUGGGAUUGUUUUCAAGACUAAAGAAAGCGUUUAAAGUGGAGCAUGCACACGAACCCCAACCCUGUGUGCUGCUCAAAUACUCCCCCAUCAGGGCGGAAAACCAUCCUCAUCCUCCUGAUGAGACGCCUGGUGGUGCUGAUGAGAUAGGGAGAAAAGAGACAGGGAGACAAGAGAAAAACAACAAAAGGUUUUGGAGAUAUCGCCUUCUUCACUUUUUCCGCCGAAGUGCUGGAAAAUACAACCUGGCUAAGGCUGAGGAAGUGUGCCAGAAUGAGGCGGGAUCGUAUCGGAGACUUAAUGAUGGUCAGACUUCUCUACAGCACGUCCCUAUUGUAGAGAUCCAUGAUCACCAAGAACCUCCAGUCUCUGAAGUCCUCCCUGCUAUGGAGGCACUGCUGGAGCAGGACGUCCCCCAACAACAGGAUGUCAACACUCCAGCUAGUUUGACUGAAGAGGACAAAGUGGAAGAGCUGGACAAGGUGUCUGAAGUCCUCAUCAGAGCUAAGGAACAACUGGAUCAAGACAUCCUCCAACCUCAGGAUGUCAACACUCCAGUUAGCUCCCCUAAAGAUGAC
ensembl:lncRNA